GCCGAUGUGGAGCAAGGUGAUUCGGGUGGGCCCCUGAUCGACCUCAACGGUCAGGUGCUCGGUGUGGUGUUCGGCGCAGCCAUCGACG
rnacentral:tRNA from 3 species